AGCCUAAUAGCUAGCCCAACUCUUUAAAUACAAUUUAACAUCCUUAAUUAAACCCCAAUACACUAAAUUUAUAAAACAAAUCAUUUUUCCAUCCCAGUAUAGGAGAUAGAAAAGAACCUCGGAGCAAUAGAGAUAGUACCGCGAGGGAAAGCUGAAAGAGAAAUGAAAUAACCCAUAAAAGCCUAGAAAAGCAAAGACUAACCCUUGUACCUUUUGCAUCAUGAUUUAGCCAGCAAUACUUAAGCAAAGAAUACUUUAGUUUAAUUCCCCGAAACUAGGUGAGCUACCCCAAGACAGCCUACAAUAAGGGCGAACCCUUCUCUGUGGCAAAAGAGUGGGAAGAUCUUCGAGUAGCGGUGACAGACCUAUCGAACCUAGUUAUAGCUGGUUGCUUGGAAAAUGGAUAGAAGUUCAGCCUUUUAGAUUUUACCCUCAACUGGGUAUUACCCAAACCCGCCAACCAUAGAAACUAAAAGAGUUAGUCAAAGGGGGUACAGCCCCUUUGAACAAGGACACAGCCUUAAUAGGAGAAUAAAGAUCACAACAAAUAAGGACUAACGUUUAAGUGGGCUUAAAAGCAGCCAUCUUAAUAAAAAGCGUUACAGCUUAAAGUUCAAACUCUUAACCUUAAAUUCCGACAAUUAAUUCCUAACCCCUAAUUAUACCAAGCCAUCCUAUGCGACCAUAGGAGCGACCCUGCUAAUAUGAGUAAUAAGAAAGCCCCGGCUUUCUCCCUUACACAAGUAUAAAUCGGAACGAACUCUCACCGAAAUUUAACGGUCCCAACAAAUAGAGGGUAAUGGAUCACACACGCCAGAACCAGAAAAUAUUCCACAAAUUAACCGUUAAUCCCACACUGGUGUGUAUUAAAGAGAAAGGCUAAAAAAGAAAGAAGGAACUCGGCAAACACCUCAAGCCUCGCCUGUUUACCAAAAACAUCGCCUCUUGCAAAAUCAACGAAUAAGAGGUCCCGCCUGCCCUGUGACUCAUAUGUUUAACGGCCGCGGUAUUUUGACCGUGCAAAGGUAGCGCAAUCACUUGUCUUUUAAAUGAAGACCUGUAUGAAUGGCAUCACGAGGGCUUAACUGUCUCCUUUCUUUAGCCAAUGAAAUUGAUCUUCCCGUGCAGAAGCGGGAAUAAAAGCAUAAGACGAGAAGACCCUAUGGAGCUUUAGACACUAAGGCAGCUUACGUCAAAAAUUCCUGAAUAAAGGACGUGAACUAAAUAGGACCUGCCCUAAUGUCUUCGGUUGGGGCGACCCCGGGGAAACAAAUAACCCCCACGAGGAAUCGGAAGUAUACUUCCGAAGCCAAGAGCCACUACUCUAAGAAUCAGAACUUCUGACCAACUGAUCCGGCCAAGCCGAUUAGCGGACCGAGUUACCCUAGGGAUAACAGCGCAAUCCCCUUAUAGAGUCCCUAUCGACAAGGGGGUUUACGACCUCGAUGUUGGAUCAGGACAUCCUAAUGGUGCAGCCGCUAUUAAGGGUUCGUUUGUUCAACGAUUAAAGUCCUACGUGAUCUGAGUUCAGACCGGAGUAAUCCAGGUCAGUUUCUAUCUAUGUAAUGAUCUUUUCUAGUACGAAAGGACCGAAAAGAAGAGGCCAAUAUUAAAAAUAUGCCUCACCCUUACCUAGCGAAAACAACUAAAAUAGGUAAAAGGGCAUCUGCUUAAAAGCCUGAGAUCAUGGCCU
rnacentral:rRNA from 1 species